rnacentral:rRNA from 1 species
UACGUAGGGUGCGAGCGUUGUCCGGAAUUAUUGGGCGUAAAGAGCUCGUAGGCGGUCUGUCGCGUCGAAUGUGAAAACCCGGGGCUCAACCCCGGGCCUGCAUUCGAUACGGGCAGACUAGAGUUCGGUAGGGGAGUCUGGAAUUCCUGGUGUAGCGGUGAAAUGCGCAGAUAUCAGGAGGAACACCGGUGGCGAAGGCGGGACUCUGGGCCGAUACUGACGCUGAGGAGCGAAAGCCAGGGGAGCGAACAGG